rnacentral:rRNA from 1 species
AACGAACGCUGGCGGCAUGCCUAACACAUGCAAGUCGAACGAGACCUUCGGGUCUAGUGGCGCACGGGUGCGUAACGCGUGGGAACCUGCCCUUAGGUUCGGAAUAACUCCCCGAAAGGGGUGCUAAUACCGGUAAUGUCUUCGGACCAAAGAUUUAUCGCCUUUGGAUGGGCCCGCGUUGGAUUAGCUAGUUGGUAGGGUAAAAGCCUACCAAGGCGACGAUCCAUAGCUGGUCUGAGAGGAUGAUCAGCCACACUGGGACUGAGACACGGCCCAGACUCCUACGGGAGGCAGCAGUGGGGAAUAUUGGACAAUGGGCGAAAGCCUGAUCCAGCAAUGCCGCGUGAGUGAUGAAGGCCUUAGGGUUGUAAAGCUCUUUUACCCGGGAUGAUAAUGACAGUACCGGGAGAAUAAGCUCCGGCUAACUCCGUG